rnacentral:rRNA from 1 species
AUUGAACGCUGGCGGAAUGCUUUACACAUGCAAGUCGAACGGUAGAGGGGGCAACCCCUUGAGAGUGGCGAACGGGUGAGUAAUAUAUCGGAACGUGCCCAGUCGUGGGGAUAACGUAGCGAAAGUUACGCUAAUACCGCAUACGAUCUAAGGAUGAAAGCGGGGGACUCGCAAGACCUCGCGCGAUUGGAGCGGCCGAUAUCAGAUUAGGUAGUUGGUGAGGUAAAGGCUCACCAAGCCGACGAUCUGUAGCUGGUCUGAGAGGACGACCAGCCACACUGGGACUGAGACACGGCCCAGACUCCUACGGGAGGCAGCAGUGGGGAAUUUUGGACAAUGGGCGCAAGCCUGAUCCAGCAAUGCCGCGUGCAGGAUG